GACGUAGGAGGCGAGCGUUGUCCGGAUUCAUUGGGCGUAAAGAGCGCGCAGGCGGCUUGGUAAGUCGGAUGUGAAAUCCCCAGGCUUAACCUGGGAACUGCAUCCGAUACUGGAUGGCUUGAAUCCGGGAGAGGGAUGCGGAAUUCCAGGUGUAGCGGUGAAAUGCGUAGAUAUCUGGAGGAACACCGGUGGCGAAGGCGGCAUCCUGGACCGGCAUUGACGCUGAGGAGCGAAAGCCAGGGGAGCAAACAGG
rnacentral:rRNA from 1 species